rnacentral:rRNA from 1 species
UACGUAGGGGGCUAGCGUUGUUCGGAAUUACUGGGCGUAAAGCGCACGCAGGCGGCUUCGCAAGUCAGAGGUGAAAGCCUGGGGCUCAACCCCAGAACUGCCUUUGAGACUGCGUCGCUCGAAUCCGGGAGAGGUGAGUGGAAUUCCGAGUGUAGAGGUGAAAUUCGUAGAUAUUCGGAAGAACACCAGUGGCGAAGGCGGCUCACUGGACCGGCAUUGACGCUGAGGUGCGAAAGCGUGGGGAGCAAACAGG